UUUUGUAACAAAAUUUAUUUUUGCUCUGUGGAUACAAAUCCCAAACAUCAACAAACAAAUUCCAGUGGAAAAAUACCAGUCAUUAACAAUGAAAACUUUUAUUAUUAUUUAAUAAAUAGAACUUUGGCAUUCAAAAUUCUAGCUGUAAACCCUACUUUAAAAAAAAUUACAAAAAGAGGCAAGAACAACAAGCCUAAAGCUGAGCCAGCCAGUGGCUCCUUUACUUUUUACAAUGAACACAUUGUGAUUAAGUCAUGACAACUCUAUUUACAUAUGAGGUAUUCUGAGCGGUUCAUAAAUUGAACCCAAUUUACAAAACUACCAGUCUUCAGGGACUGAUCCAGUACAUAUGUCAGCUGUGCUUUUAAAAGAUAGCUCCAGACACUCCUCCCCACUGAACUAAUGAUAUACUGCAAUUUAUAUACACAAAACGAACACAUUACGGUUGGAGUUUCCUGCUCACGCUGCAUACUACAACCAGCCUAACAUUCAAAGUGUACACCUAGUACCUAGUUUAAGUACUUCUGUUUCUAGACAUCAUGCGAGAGUUCUACUACAAAAACUUAUGAACAAAAUAUCGGCAGGUAAGAAGAAAACAAGGUGCAGUCAUCAGCAUCCUAAUAACCUCUUUAAAGUUCAAGGGGAAUAUACACUUACUUCAGGCAAAAAAAGGCACAAAGGUAUGCAGCUGUGAAUUAAUAUUGCUAAUGAGCUACCAGAAUAAGUCAUCUCUUUAGAUAACAACCAUUGAUUUGUUUGCAGUCUAAGAAUGCAGAUUAGUUCAGAUGAUGUUCUCCCCCCUCACGACAGAACUUCUCACAUCAAUGAGAAGAGCCCAAUUAUAGCUCCAACUCGACCUGUGUAACAUCAUUGAUAAGGACAAGGAAAACUGGAGCAAAUUACUCCCAUGCAGAGUGACUGCAGCGUGCCAUCGCGGCCCAUGCUAGGACAGCAGGUCACAGAAGAAGGGGUUUGCUUUCUUUCCUUGUGCUCUUACACUGCAAGAGAAACGUCAACCCUCCCCCCCUCCAUUUGAAAUGAAAGGCGGGCAGCAAGGGCAAAGGAAGGAACCCUUUGUAAGUGUAAUGGACGAAAUUUCAGCUCUUGUAAUGGCUUCAUGGCCACCGGCAGUUUCGAAUGCUGGAGCCCGAGUGCAUGGUUACAGCAAUCUCCACAAUUUCACACAACUAUCACACUACAAAGCUGCAGAGCAGGGGUGAGCAACCUAAAUCACAUUUACACAACUGAGCUGCAUUACUUCUAUACCGUAAAUACAUAGCAUCACCUAUAGCUUGUCCGAAGACAGUUACUUUCCAAGUCUUUUUCAAAAUACAUUCUCAAAUACAGUAGUUACUGUAAAUAUCUUCUAAAGGAUUGUAUAAAUUCAAUCUGAAACUAUACAGAACAUUACUGUACAAAUUUGCUGGCAGCCAGAACGGUACAGUAUCCAUUCAUGAGCAGUUGGUUUUCAGCCCUUGAGAUUGUCUAAUAGCUACAGCAAAAAGUUGUCAUGACUAAAUCUAAGCAAUUCCAAUGUUAACAUUCGUUAAUCAACUCUGUAUUAAAUAUGCUGAAUGAGACCACACACACACUACAUUUUAACCAAUUAAACAAUCAUGCAUAUCUUAGACAAAGCUUAUUCCAUUUAGAGGCAUCCAUAAACUGAUGCAGAUAUAAUAAUUACUACUACUACAACAGGCCAAAUUUUAAGAAAUCAAAGGAAAAUAGUGGAUCACUGUAGACAGUCAAUUGGUAGUCUGCAUCUUUGGCUCAUACAUCCAUCAUUUAUCUCCCUACUUUAAUUUGACUGAGGCAGAUAAACUCAGGGUUCUUUAAAAUCAAGUGCUUUAAAGUCAACCUAAAUAUUACAGGGUCCAUAAUAAAAAUAUUACAGUGCAAGAUUAGAGCACUGCAAUCAAAGUAUUACAACUAAAAUGGCUCCUCCUUCCUGAGGGACUUUCCACUAAUACUUGAAGAGCAUAAAAGCUCCUGAAGUGCUUUGCAAAUCUAAAAUCACUGACCUCAACUCUGUAGCACAGUAUCACCAUGUAACAGGAGGGACAGUGGAGGCACACCAGCCAAGUUACCAGCUUAAUAGUUCAAAGGGAGACAAAAAGUCUCCUGCUCCUCCCUAAUUGCUCUGUUAAACUCCUUGUUAUUUCCACCAAAUUUAGAAAAAUAUGUUGCUUGUUAAUUUUUAUAGGUACAACGUUUCCAUGUAAGGAAACAGUAACAUGCAACUUGGGUGUUGCCUCUCUCCCUAAUACUUCUAGUUUAUUCUCUGAAAUGCUAUUGUUGAAUUCUGAUAUGAGACAGAUACCAUGAACUGGAGACUAUUACUUCACUGCAGGGCCACCACCACCAAUGAACUACACCAAAGUAACGAGCCGAGGCCCUAGUCACAAAAGCUAGUACUGUUAGAGGCACAGGAAACUGCGCAAGCCCAUUUGUGCAAAGAUCCUUGUUUUCAGUUUUGCACUAGUAUAAAAGCACACCUUCAAACCUACAGAAAGAGCAUAGAAAUUUAAACUAAA
rnacentral:lncRNA from 1 species